rnacentral:rRNA from 1 species
UACGUAGGGGGCAAGCGUUGGUCCGGAUUUACUGGGCGUAAAGAGCGUGUAGGCGGCCAAGCAGGUCCGUUGUGAAAACUGGAGGCUUAACCUCCAGACGUCGACGGAAACCGCGUGGCUAGAGUCCGGAAGAGGAGAGUGGAAUUCCGUGGUGUGAGCGGUGAAAUGCGCAGGAUAUCAGAAGGAACACCAAUGGCGAAGG